rnacentral:rRNA from 1 species
ACGGAGGGUGCAAGCGUUAAUCGGAAUUACUGGGCGUAAAGCGCGCGUAGGCGGUUUGUUAAGUUGGAUGUGAAAGCCCUGGGCUCAACCUGGGAACUGCAUUCAAAACUGGCAGGCUAGAGUACGAGAGAGGGGGGUAGAAUUUCUAGUGUAGCGGUGAAAUGCGUAGAUAUUAGAAGGAAUACCAGUGGCGAAGGCGGCCCCCUGGCUCGAUACUGACGCUGAGGUGCGAAAGCGUGGGGAGCAAACAGG